rnacentral:rRNA from 1 species
GACAGAGGAUGCAAGCGUUAUCCGGAAUGAUUGGGCGUAAAGCGUCUGUAGGUGGCUUUUCAAGUCCGCCGUCAAAUCCCAGGGCUCAACCCUGGACAGGCGGUGGAAACUACCAAGCUGGAGUACGGUAGGGGCAGAGGGAAUUUCCGGUGGAGCGGUGAAAUGCAUUGAGAUCGGAAGGAACGCCGGUGGCGAAAGCGGCUUACUGGUCCGGUUCUGACGCUGAGGCGCGAAAGCGUGAGGAGCAAACAGG